rnacentral:rRNA from 1 species
UACGGGGGGGGCAAGCGUUGUUCGGAAUUACUGGGCGUAAAGGGCUCGUAGGCAGCCCUCUCAGUCGGAUGUGAAAUCCCCAGGCUUAACCUGGGAACGGCAUCCGAUACUGGAGGGCUUGAAUUCGGGAGAGGGAUGCAGAAUUCCAGGUGUAGCGGUGAAAUGCGUAGAUAUCUGGAGGAAUACCGGUGGCGAAGGCGGCAUCCUGGACCGAGAUUGACGCUGAGGAGCGAAAGCUAGGGGAGCAAACGGG